rnacentral:rRNA from 1 species
GACGAACGCUGGCGGCGUGCUUAACACAUGCAAGUCGAGCGGUAAGGCCCUUUCGGGGGUACACGAGCGGCGAACGGGUGAGCAACACGUGGGUGACCUGCCCUCAGCUCUGGGAUAAGCCUGGGAAACUGGGUCUAAUACUGGAUAUGACUCCACGGUGCAUGUCGUGGGGUGGAAAGCCUUGUGCGGCUGAGGGGUGGGCCCGCGGCCUAUCAGCUUGUUGGUGGGGUGANGGCCUACCAAGGCGACGACGGGUAGCCGGCCUGAGAGGGCGACCGGCCACACUGGGACUGAGACACGGCCCAGACUCCUACGGGAGGCAGCAGUGGGGAAUCUUGCGCAAUGGGCGAAAGCCUGACGCAGCGACGCCGCGUGAGGGAUGACGGCCU